AACUUAAAAGACUCAUUUAUUUGAGACCUGUGAUGACUAGGAUUAUCAAUAAAUAAAAUAAAUUAAGAGUUUAAGACUCAUAGCACUAGCACUCAAAAUUGACAAAAAUUACAGAAACACCCUGUUGAAUCCUGUAGCAAAAUAAUUGAUACCGUAGGAAUUACCUUACUCUUUGCAUCAAAAACUCCCCUAAUUUAAUUUAGAUCUCAAAAAUGAAGCAUUUUAAGUAAUCAGAACACUGAAAUUCAUUUAACAACUUGGUCAAAUUAUAACACGAAUCUGAAACAGCCCACAAAUAUAAGAGCAAUAAUUUACCUUGUGAACUUAAUGCCUAUCAU
rnacentral:misc_RNA from 1 species